GCCGAUCUUCGGGUACAUCGGCCUGGUCUUCGCCACCCUCGCCAUCGCCGGCCUGUCCAUGGCUGUGUGGGCACACCACAUGUUCGCCACCGGCGCGGUCCUGCUGCCGUUCUUCUCCUUCAUGACCUUCCUGAUCUCCGUGCCGACCGGCGUGAAGUUCUUCAACUGGCUGGGCACGAUGUGGAACGGGCACAUCACGUUUGAA
rnacentral:misc_RNA from 1 species